rnacentral:rRNA from 1 species
AAAUUGAAGAGUUUGAUCAUGGCUCAGAUUGAACGCUGGCGGCAGGCCUAACACAUGCAAGUCGAACGGUAACAGGAAGCAGCUUGCUGCUUCGCUGACGAGUGGCGGACGGGUGAGUAAUGUCUGGGAAACUGCCUGAUGGAGGGGGAUAACUACUGGAAACGGUAGCUAAUACCGCAUAAUGUCGCAAGACCAAAGAGGGGGACCUUCGGGCCUCUUGCCAUCGGAUGUGCCCAGAUGGGAUUAGCUUGUUGGUGGGGUAACGGCUCACCAAGGCGACGAUCCCUAGCU